AGGACGAACGCUGGCGGCGUGCUUAACACAUGCAAGUCGAGCGGUGAUCCUCCUUCGGGAGGUGAUCAGCGGCGAACGGGUGAGUAACACGUGGGCAACCUGCCCCUCACACUGGGAUAACCUCGGGAAACCGGGCUAAUACCGGAUACGACCUCGAGCGGCAUCUCUUGAGGUGGAAAGCUCCGACGGUGAGGGAUGGGCCCGCGGCCUAUCAGCUUGUUGGUGGGGUAGAAGCCUACCAAGGCGACGACGGGUA
rnacentral:rRNA from 1 species